CAGCUCCUUCACGCUGUAGCCCACGACUGAGUCCUAAUAAAGCCUUAGCUGAACUCCUUCUCCUGCCUCUUAUCAGUCUCUAAAGCAUCCAAAGGCUCAAGUUGGUAAUGCUUCCUUGCUGCGAGGCCUUAGGAGCUCGAUCUGGUGAGUUGGCCUGGGCCCAGGUCAUGAAGGAUGAGUUUAGCGGUUGGAUGGAAACAUGGAAUCAUUGCCCCGGUGGGCUUGCCCUGAGGCUGCUCCAGGAGAAGUGACGGGAGGAUGACAGGUACGCACGUUGAAAAUUACUUCGAGGUGGUCUCAGCCCCAUUUACUGUCCCCAAGAGUCCUCUCCAGAGUUUGAUGUGGACACAUUAGAAGCACACAUGAAGACAAUGAUGUAUAUGUGUUUAGUCUGAACUGGUCCAGCAUGGCUGCGUCACCGUGGAGCACAGCUGCCUGGGAAAGAGAAGAAAGAUGGGGGUGUUAAUCAUUGUGGCAGGCACGUUCUUCCUCCCUCGGCCCAUCUGCCAAGGCUGUAGGGCUGGUCACCACUGAAGGCGCUUUCAUUCACUCUUCUCUAAAACUGACAUAGGUGGCUUCUGCAUGGGAAGACCUUAAGGAAUUCAAUUCAAGUCCAUUUACUUCAAUGCUUCAGGAAUAUUUAUGUUUAGCUUGUUUAGGAACACCUUUGGAGGCACUGAACCAUGCAUUAGGAACACAGCCAUGAGCAAGGAGGUGUAGACCCUGCCCUCAGGGAACUUAUCUAUUCUGUGCAGAGUCUGUGCUCGGCAAAGAGAAUGCAGAAAUGGACACCACUCCCCAUGUACCCCACAGGGACUGCACCUGGCUGACCAUUAAUUCCACACCUGGCACUCAGCAGGGUAUUAUAUAUCUGCUCCCACAACAUUCCUUUAAAGUAGGUAUUAUUCUGAUCAUACAGGUGAGGAAGCAGCCUCAGGGUCUCCCUGGGAGACUUUGCCAGCUUAAGGUCAGGAAACAGUAGAAAACAUUAAAACUAAGGCCAACCUUGGACCAUAAAGCCAAGCCAGUUCCUCCUCACUGUGCCCUGCUUCUAGUAUCAGAAGCAUCCCCUUGAAUCUGAUUGGUUAUUUAUUUAUUUAAGUGUUAUAGGAGUUGUGCAUAUAAGAUGCAAAGUGGGGAGCAUUUGGGCCAGGCUUGAAAGAAUAUGUAGAAAUCUAUCAUGAGGAAAAUGUGGGGAAGUAUUCUAGGCAUGGACACAGGGCUGCAUCUGGAAUGUUGCAUGGCUGCUGGGGGCGUGAGGAGGUGGUCUGCAAGGAUGGGAAGGGAAUGAGCCCUCUAAGAGGGAGUUAGGCCAGUUGUGAAGAGGAGUCUUCACUGCUUCCUUAGGGGAUGGAAGCUAUCAGCUAUGUUUAAGCAAUAAGGUGACUGACUAUCAAAGUAAGGAAGAAUCACAGAGGCAGUACAUGGAAUUGGCCAGUAGGGGGUAACAGAGAGUGCAAACCUGGGAGAGCAUAAGGGGGCCAUUACUAAGGUGGUUUUGCAAGUAAUGAUUCUCUUUUGUGGACCCAUCACAUGGGUCAGUCUGAUGUGUUUCAUUGAGAAGCGCCUGAUCUGUGGUUACCUCCUAGUUAGGUAGGUAGAAAUAAUUUUUUCCACAUUUCUCUUAUAAUCUCUUUCGCCAAAAUCAGAAUUUCUUUUAGCCAUGUGAGGAAACAAAAUGCUUGACUCUAUUUAUGUAAUAAUAAUGAUGAUGUAGAGGACAUUGGGAUGGAUGACCCAGAUCUCACAUCUGUACUUCUCUAGCUGCUGAGAGGGCUGCCAGCAGACAGCCCUCAAUUCUUAGUCCUCUUUGAAGAUUGCAUCAGCUGAAGAGAGCUAUCUCUCCCAAGAUCACACUGCCUUCCUGGGGCAGCCCACAUCCAAUGACUGAACUCUGGUGGGGGAAGGGGUGGUUACAAAUGCCUAGCCCCCUACUUCCAGUUUGGGGUAACUCGGAAAGGCCUUCCCCACUUAAGAGCACCCUCCAAUGUUGGCUGAGACCUCUGUUGAAGCCGUGCUGCAGCCCACAUCUUCCUCUUCCUGACCCUCCACCUUUCCUUUUGUUCCUUCUUAGCAUGUGGGGAUUCUGAGAUCUCUCCCUGAUGGAGUUCAUCCAUCCCAGCUGUUGCUUAGGGGAAAACCCAGCAGCAAAUGACAAUUGUAGCUAAGGUUUUUCGGUUUGUUUGUGCCGAAUAUCAUGAGAGGGAGUUUAUACACAUAUUCUCAUUUCAUUCUUACAAUAACUACGGGUAGUAGGUAGCCCAUAAAACAUUAUUUUUACCAUUGUGUAGGCACCAAAGAAUUUUCCUGUCAGUGAUCCUAGGUGAAUUUUAAUCCUUCCUGGGAGAGAGCAGGGCAGGGAUUCCUAACCUCUUUAGACAUACUAGAAACUUAGGCCCACAGAGAAAUAAAUUCCCUCAGAUUGCAAAUCUAGGAAUGUUGCAGAAUUGUCUAACUUUCUGAUCAAUUCCACUGCAUAUAGACAUUCCCAUUUCUGCUUAUGCUUUUUUAUUUUUUUUAACUUUUAAAUUUUUUUUCCACUGGUUGGGGAGUCAGCACAGAAUGAGGGAAGAAUAAACACCAUGUAUAUCAGUGCUGGCUGGUGCUGCACCGUGCUAGGGAACUAGCUCUGUGCUUGCUCCCCUGGGGCCAGGGACAGUCAUUCACCUGUUGCAUCAACACCCUCCUUGUUUCUUUAAUGGAAAGCAUUCUGGUUCGAUCAUAAUUUUUCCUCCCAUUGUUGUGUUGCGAUGUAAGUAUCUAGACAUAGUUCUCAAUGCUUACAUUGCUUAUGCUUUUUAAUAUGCCAUGUACCAGAUAGGCUUUCCAUCCCCUGGUCUGAAAGCUGGACAUUUUUCAGCUAGUGCCCGCCUUUUGGACUCUCACUCAAAAUGUGUGGCCUAAGACAAAAUGGAAAGCAAUGGCUCUUAUACAAUAUCAGUGCCAAGGAAGCCUUCAGCAUCUAACUCAGGGAUUUCAAACUGUUUCCUAUAGAGCUGCUUUGGGGGCUCAAGAGAAAAGAACAGGGAAAGAGAAAGAGUAGAAUGGAAAAUAAGAGGAAGGGAAUAGGGCCUGAGAGGGAAAGAAAAGAUGAAAAGAGGUUAGGGAGAAGUGGGGAGGGGUGCAGGGGGAGAAAGAGGGAGAGGAGUGCAAGGGAGGAGAGGGCAGGAGUGGGAGGGGCGGGCAAGGAGCUGGCCGGCUGCUCUAGGAAAUAAACAAUGGCAACUUUCCUGCCCAGGAGGCAGCUGGUUAUUGGGCACUUUGAACUCCUCAGGACAGUAUGCUUUAUCAUCUGGAAUAAUAAACGCAAACCUGGUGGCCCAAGGAGCAGGCAGGGCUCAGUCUGGGAGGUACAGCCCUGAGCUUGGCCACAGUGGGCAGCCUGCUGUCUCACCUGCACUGAGGAGCCCAGGAAGGCAGCCUCUGGGAGGCACCCGGGGCCAAGAGGGCUCUCAGCUGGUGCUGAGUGAGCUUUUCAAAGUAAACAAGGGCUCUGGGGCCAGGGGGAGCCUCCUCUUGGUGGUGACUCUGAUGCAAUGUGGACCCUGGAAGGGGCUUGGUAUUUUUAGCUCUCCACUUGCUUUGAAAGAAAGAAAAAGGGAAAGAAACAGAACCAGAGUGUGCAAUCUAUUAUUUUUUAGGACAUAAUAGCUAACAGCUCUGAAAACAUUCUGGAUGUGCUCCACAGCUCAUCAGCAGGCGCAUCAGCACAGAAUGAGGGAAGAAUAAACGCCAUGUAUAUCAGUGCUGGCUGGUGCUGCACCACGCUAGGGAACCAGCUCUGUGCUUGCCUCGCCUGGGGCCAGGGACAGUCAUUCACCUGUUGGCUCCUCUGGUGCAUCAACACCCUCCUUGUUCCUUUAAUGGAAAGCAUUCUGGUUUGAUCAGACCCAAGUUGGAGUCAUACUUUCCUAGGCCAUUAAGAGGUCAGGGAAAUCCUUUGGGGUUGGGGGGUCAGUUCUGGGACCUGAGCUACUCCCUUGCUCGCCGUGGCCUUGGACGAGUCCCCUGGUUCCCCUGAACCUAGGUGAAUUCAAAAGGCUCUUUGAGUUUUAACACUAAAGCAACCUGUAGAAAUAUAAGUGAGGAGAGGUCCUGAGAGGCCAGGAGGGUCCCAGUGCACUACACAAAAUCAAUAUUUCUUGAGUGAACAGGAAGCACAAUGGGGGUUGAUGGCCCACCCUUACCUGCAUGCAUAGAGGAAAUUGGACUUUCUUCUAUUACGUGCAGUUUUGUAAUCUCUAAACCUCUCAGAAGAGUAAAGAAAUUUUAAUUUUGUGGUGGCCAACAGCGGCAGGCAGCCAUAGGAGAUGAUGGAUGAGCAGAGGGCUUGUGGGCUGCAGGGAGCUGGCUGGAGGGCGUGAGUGUGCAGGGCGGUGCUUGCCCUUUCUGGGGAGGAUGCUGGACUGGGAUGUGGAAGACCUGGGCUUGCCAUCUCCUUGCAGGGGCAACCUUGGGGAGAUCUUCCUUUCCGGAAGCCCAGCCUGUUCCAUCACUUCCCUUUCUGCCUUCCCCCUCAGUGCCCUGGGCCAGCCUCCAUGCAGCCUGUCUCUGCCCGGGAUGAUCCUUCCAGGCUCUAACUGUUCUCACUGCCCUUCAGCUCUGCUUGGCUCCUCUCCAUGCUCCUUGCUCUGCCUCCUCUAAAGUGAUCUCCUAACGUGAAAAUCAGAUGGGGCCCCGCUCUGGCACACAACCGUCAUCUACAGCUCCUUUGUCUCAGGCAUAUGUCCAAGCAUUCAAGGCCUUUUGAGGUCUGGCCCCUGCUCAUGGUUCCAGUAUCAGCACCUGUGCCUGCUUUUUCUGCAUGCACCUUAAGAUUCCAGGCACAUUAGUCCCAGAAGGCUCCACACUUUCCCAAACAUGCGUAACCUUGUGCAUGCUGUUCCUUCCUCUUCCAAAACUCAUCUCGAGCAUCUGCUUUGCCCAGAGGACAGGGCUUGGGAAGGCCUCAUGGAGCCAAUCCCUUCCUUCUGUACACAGUCCUGUUACAGCCCCUAUUGCCUGUCAUACUCUCUCUGGGGAGACAGGUGAAAACAAAACCCCACAAGCACCAGGUUGUGGUCACUGCCGUACUCCAUGGCUAUCACAAUUAGCAAGAGUUGUCAGGAGAUGAUGGAUUUAUGGAUGUAUCUAUACAAUAGGGGUAAAGAGUCCUCUCUUUUCACUAUUGGAAGGAUGCAGAGAAUGCAAAAAAGUUUUAUAGAAGGUAGAGGCUGUACACCCUUUGAGGGUUUGUUGUUAUGAUGAUCCAAUUCCAGGACAGAAACUAGAGACAGAAGAGCAGAAACAGAAUUUCUUCCUCCCCACCUUCCCUUCCCUUUUCUCUUCCCCCUUCCCUUCUUCCCUCCUUUCUUGAGUGUUUGGCAUUGCCCCUAAGGCCUAAAGGAAUGCUGAAGAACCAGGCAGACAAGAUCCCCUCCCCCCAUGGGGCAUAUUUUCUGUUAAGGAAAUAAAUACGGCAAACAAACAAAUAGGCACGCUGAUUUUCAUUAAUGAAAGACUGAGAGCAGAAGUAGGUGCAGUAGGGGCCAUGAGAAGAGGUUUUUAGGCACUCGACCACUCUGCCCCCCAUCAGGGAGGGCAGCUGUGAGCUGUGCGACUUGAGCAUCAGGGCUGCCUGGCACCGUUCAGUUUCCUUCUCCGUAGUGUGAGAUGAUGAUGCCCAUCUCGAUGGAGAGUGGUGAGGAAUGAAUUGACAGGUGCAGCUUAUAACUUUCUAGGAACUGACAUCCUGAAAGGGAAUUUAUGAAGUUUCCUCAUCCCCCAGUAACGAAAGGGGCUUCUGUGAUGUCCUGAGGGAAGGGACGGGCACCGAGGCCUUGUGUGCUUAGGAGUAGUAUCUUCUCUCCCAACAAGAGACCCCCAACAACAGGGAAGCCACCUUUCUUUGUAGUUCUCUGCAUGGAUUCUAGACCUUUCCCCGGCCCUGAAUCAUGGCUUGCUAUGAUCAACUAUAUUUUGUCUCCGUGGCUCACCUGGAGCUAGUCACUUUCCCUUUCGGGGCCUAUGUUUCCCCCUGUAAAAAGAAGGCAUUAAACUAAAAAACAAAAAAA
rnacentral:lncRNA from 1 species